rnacentral:sRNA from 1 species
AUUUCAGAAAAUUGGGGCCAUUACUUUUUCAAGACUCUUGGGGACCAGUCCUUGAAUAACAUCACUGCAGAACUCACUGGCUCAUGGCUUCUGGGGUCAGGAAUCCAAGUGUGGCUGAGCUGGCUCUCUGCUCAGAGACCUCACCAGCCACGGUCCUCUUGGCUCUGCUGGGGAAGGUCCCACGUCCAGGCCACCAGCCCCUCGGGUUCCAAGAUGCAGCUACUGGAGACAGAGUUCUCACACACCGUGGGCGAGCUCAUCGAGGUGCACCUGCGGCGCCAGGACAGCAUCCCUGCCUUCCUCAGCUCGCUCACCCUCGAGCUCUUCAGCCGCCAGACCGUGGCGUAGCCUGCAGCCUCGGGGGCAUAGCCGGAGCCACUCUGCUUGGCCUGACCUGCAGGUCCCCUGCCCCGCCAGCCACAGGCUGGGUGCACGUCCUGUCUCUCCAGCCCCACAGGGCAGUGGCACGACUGACAGACACGCUGGGACCUACGUCAGGCUUCCUGCUGGGGUGGCCAGCACCCUCCCCACGUGCAGACCCCAUGCGUCCCGGAGCCUGGUGUGUGGGCGUCGGCCACCAGCCCGGGUUCCUCACCUUGUGAAAUAAAAUCUUCUCCCCUAGA